CAGAAACCAUCAUGGUGGAAGGGUAUGGCGGAACAAAGCUGCUCAGUUCAUGGCAGCUGGGGAACAGUGCCAGAGAGGAAGAGGCCAGGGAGUUCCCUCUAGGGAGAUUGACUACAUGCUGAAAAGAAAACACAAAGAUAGCAUCUAAGAGCAGUCAGAGGGCCGGGGAUUUAGCUCAGUUGUUCCGCCACCUGCCUUGCAAGCGGAAGGAUCCGAGUUCGAUCCCCAGUACCAAAAAAAAAAACAGCCAAAAACCCCAAAAAAACCACAAAAAAAAGAGCAAUCAGAGAUCAAAUUAUGUGGUAUAUGAAAUAUAGGUCAAUAAAAUUGUUAAAAAUUAAAAUAUUAUUAAAAUAGUUAAAACUUUAAAUAAUUGAAAAACAAGCAGAGAAAAAAGAUACAACAUAUGGACAACUGACUUCUUAAGUGAAACAGUGGAAUUGAGAGGAAGAUGAAAAGACAUCUUCAAAGCUCUGAGGGACACUACCUUUUAGAAUUCUGUGGGAGGAAAAAUAUCCUUUAAAAAAGGAGAAAUAAAGACAUGUUUAGAGAAACAAUUUGAUCAGUCUCAUCAUCAGUUGACUUGCAUCAAAAGAAAUACUAACAGGUGUUCUUUAG
rnacentral:lncRNA from 1 species